GUAGCUAGACUUCGAUUCUGCGAAAUCAAACUCUGAAUAUCUAUCUGAUUCAUAAAACAUCUGUAAUAAACACUGGAAUAUUAAUUGAUGUAUAAAAAUUCGUAAUCAAGAUAAUACGAUAUGAGUACAAGAGGCCGUGGACGGAGCUGAGGAAGUGUUCGAACGAGAUCUUCGUCUUCGAGACAUAUGCCGGCGGUGGAUGCACCGGUACCACCGGCAACAGAGGUAGAGUCUCAUGACCGCGGUGCCGAGGAUGAUGUCCUGUCACAGGCAAUGCUUCGUGUUCUGGAAAGGGUUACCGGGACAAGUUCGGGCAACAGAAUUCGAGGAUCGAUUUCUGAACGACUCCGGGCCAACGGAGCUUAGAUCUUUAGAGGUGCGUCUGGUAUAGCCCCGAAUGUGGCAGAAUAUUGGUUGGAGGCCACAGAAUGGAUUAUGGACAACUUGGACUACUCUGAGGAGAUUGUGAGUGGGGUAUCUGUACUAAGUCAUUUGAGUCACUCGGUUAGGGUAGACAAACUAUAUAGGGAUGUACCCUUAGAAACUCAAGGUAAGAUUUUCCCUGGAGAUCUGAUGGAGUUACCAUUCGGAGAGUUUGAUCUCAUUUUAGGAAUGGACUGGCUUGUUAAGCAUAAAGCGACUCUGGAUUGUGCUGCUAAACGAAUGGUGUUAAGGACCACAAAAGAUGAGGAGGUUAUGGUGAUAGGUGAGCGAAGGGAUUAUUUGUCCAAUGUGGUGUCGGCAUUAAGAGCCGAAAAGUGGAUUCAGAAAGGUUAUGAGGUCUAUUUGGCAUUUAUAAGUCAGUCAGAAGAGGAGGGACUGACAGUGGAUAAGGUUAGGACCGUAAAGAAGUUCCAAGAUGUUUUUCCGGAGGAGCUUCAGGAUUGCCUCCGAAUCGAGAAGUUGAGUUUGGAAUAGACUUGUUGCCUGAAAUGGCGCCUGUGUCAAUCACACCGUAUAGGAUGGCACCAAGGAGUUAGUAGAGUUAAAUGCUCAAAUCCAAGAGUUGUUGGAUAGGGGCUUUAUUAGGCCAAGCGUGUCUCCAUGGGGAGCACCAGUGCUAUUCGUGAAAAAGAAGGAUGGUACGAUGCGGAUGUGCAUUGAUUAUCGCCAGUUGAACAAACUGACGAUUAAGAAUAAGUAUCCACUGCCAAGGAUUGACGAUCUAUUCGACCAGCUUAGAGGAGCUUCUGUAUUUUCCAAGAUCGACCUUCGAUAUGGAUAUCAUCAGUUAAGGGUCAAGGAGACAGAUAUCCAAAAGACGACAUUUAGGACUCGGUAUGGUCAUUACGAGUUUCUGGUUAUGCCAUUUAGACUAACGAACGCUCCUGCAGCAUUUAUGGAUCUGAUGAAUCGUGUGUUCCAACCAUUUUUGGAUCAGUUCAUAGUCAUCUUUAUUGACGAUAUCCUGGUAUAUUCUGAAACUAAAACGAAACAUGAUGAACAUCUCCGUAUAGUGCUGUAAGUAUUAAGGGAGAAGGAACUCUUUGUGAAGUUCAGCAAGUGUGAAUUUUGGUUGAGGGAGGUAACUUUCUUAGGACAUGUGGUCUCUGCUGAGGGGAUUAAAGUGGACCCUCGGAAAAUUGAAGCGAUUUUGGAAUGGAAGCCGCCUAGGUCAGUGUCGGAAAUACGGAGUUUCCUAGGUUGGCAGGAUACUACAGAAGGUUUGUGGAAGGUUUUUCUGUGAUGGCAGCACCUCUGACAAAACUCAUAAGGAAAGGAGUACCAUUUGUAUGGACUAAGAAGCAGUAAGAAGCUUUUGAGAAGUUGAAGAAAGUUCUGACUGAAGCACCUGUGUUAAUUCAACUGGAGUCUGGGAAGGAUUUUACUGUGUACAGUGACGCAUCACACGUGGGUUUAGGCUGCAUGUUAAUGCAAGAGGGUAAGGUGGUUGCAUAUGCAUCACGAUAGCUUAAACCUCAUGAGGGAAACUAUUUGACUCAUGAUUUAGAGUUGGCAGCAGUGAUAUUUGCACUUAAGAUUUGGAGACAUUACUUGUACGGAGAAAGGUGUAUUAUAUACACUGACCAUAAGAGUCUUAAGUAUUUGUUGACUCAAAAGGAGCUGAACCUUAGGCAAAGGAGAUGGAUUGAAUUGCUUAAGGAUUAUGACUGUUCGAUCGAGUAUCACCCAAGCAAGGCUAAUGUGGUAGCCGAUGCUCUAAGUCAUAAGUCAGAUCUCGAUCCGAAAGCAAUGUUUGCUCGUCGAGUCUCAGAUGAUGAUGGAAGUCUGUUGGCUGAGUUGCAAGUGAGGCCAACCUGGGUGGAUCAGAUUAAGGAAAAAUAGUUGAACGAUGAGUCUUUGGUCGCUCGUUUUCAACAAGUUAAGGAAGGGGAAACUUCUAAGUUUGGGAGCCAGAAGAGACGAUGCAACAGCAAUACCCUCAUCUGUUUGGAUUAGGUAAAUUUCGAGGACGAAAUUUCUUUAAGGAGGGUAGAGUUGUAACGCCCCAAUUUUCGGGAAUCCUGUGAAUGUUGGCAUAGGUUUAAUUAUGUUAGUGGGCCUCUAGAAAGCCCAAACUUAAGAUAUAACCCGACAAUUUUAGUUAAUUUUUGUUCCAUAAGAAAAAGGGGGUGAAAUUAUGAAAUAGGACCUAUGUGAAAAUGUUUGAAAAUGCUAUAGGCUAAAUUGAAGUGGCCAAAUAAAUAGGAGUGCAAAAUAGGAGGAUUUGCAUGACAAACCUCCCAUUUUACAUGUAGUAGCUGGCCAUCAUGUUGUUGUAGACAAAAUGUGCACUUGAUAUCCAUAAUUUAUGGUACAAAUUGACAUAAAUUGAUAAUGGGUUAGGUAAAUGUUCCAUGAUAAUGGGUUAGGUAAAUGUUCCAUGAUAAUGAGUUAGGUAAAUGUUCUAUGAUGGGAAUUUCAUAUCUUUUGUAUUAAAGAAUUAAAUGGAUGAAAUAUGAAGUUUUAUUAAAAGAAAAAGGGGUGAAAAGAACAAAGUUUUGUCCAUCUUUGUUCAUCAUAGCUGAAAGUUAGAGAAGAGAAAAGAGAGGAGAAAGCUCUUGAGUAUUUGGUCAUUAGGAGGAGGAAAAUUGAAGGCAGUUCGUGUGUGGAUCUCGUCAGCAUAUCGUCGCAAACAGGUGUGUAACUAACACCCUCUUUCUUAGUCUAGAUCGGCAAAAGCCGAAAAGCCGAAAUGCCGAAAACUAGUAUUUUGUAGAUUUGCGAGUGUGCGAAUGCUCGUGAGGUAAAUCGAUUAAUAUUUUUGGUAAGCUGCAAAAUUUGGACUGCAAAGUGCAUGAUUUCUGUGCCCUCGAUAUUUUUGGGCUUAAUGGGCCAAAAUUGGAAUGAUGGGCCAACGGGCCCAAUUCGGUAAGAACCCUCGGUAGUGAUUCUAUUAGUACGUGAAAGGUAGGAAUAUGCAUGAAAACCCUAAAAUGGAUAAAUUACUGAAAUACCUUUAAAAGUGAAAAAUUUACAAUUUUACUCCUAGGAGAUAAAUUAUUGAAAUACCCCUAGGGUUAAAUUGACCUAAAUGCAUGUUUGACUGUUGUUAUUUACUGCAUGCCAUGUUGUUAUUAUCUGAUGCAUGGGACUGGGAUAUUGACGGAGGAAGUA